rnacentral:rRNA from 1 species
AAAUUGAAGAGUUUGAUCAUGGCUCAGAUUGAACGCUGGCGGCAGGCCUAACACAUGCAAGUCGAACGGUAACAGGAAGCAGCUUGCUGCUUUGCUGACGAGUGGCGGACGGGUGAGUAAUGUCUGGGAAACUGCCUGAUGGAGGGGGAUAACUACUGGAAACGGUAGCUAAUACCGCAUAACGUCGCAAGACCAAAGAGGGGGACCUUCGGGCCUCUUGCCAUCAGAUGUGCCCAGAUGGGAUUAGCUUGUUGGUGGGGUAACGGCUCACCAAGGCGACGAUCCCUAGCUGGUCUGAGAGGAUGACCAGCCACACUGGAACUGAGACACGGUCCAGACUCCUACGGGAGGCAGCAGUGGGGAAUAUUGCACAAUGGGCGCAAGCCUGAUGCAGCCAUGCCGCGUGUAUGAAGAAGGCCUUCGGGUUGUAAAGUACUUUCAGCGGGGAGGAAGGUG